GUUCACUCUCACCCACACCAGAAUGACAGCUGUCCUGCUCAGCACCGGAGACUCAGGAGCUAGCCCAGUGCCAGAUACAGCUAAAAGAAGGAAAGGAAAGAACCAUUCUGAUCUGUUUCCAUGAUCCAUAGUGAACUUCAAGAUCAUUUCAAGUUUUCUCAUCAUCGGAACUUGCCAGAUCACUGCUCUGCCUCACACUGUCUGAUACGUGGACCAAUCAGAGCCACUCUAUGAGUAAUCACUAAUCACUUUUGUUUCUUGCUUUUAGAUAUACUUCAGAUAGAAACAAAGGUUCUCCUCUUCCCAAUGUCGGGAGUUUGUCUUGAGGCUGACUUUGAGUGCCCACUAUCUGGUAUCCCCUUGUCAGUAAAGGUCUUUGAUUCUGCAGUACACCCAGAGAUGGACCCCUUCUUGGCCCUUCA